rnacentral:tRNA from 2 species
GGAGAGGUGGCAGAGUGGCCGAAUGCGGCGGUCUCGAAAACCGUUUACCUCUAUUUGAGGUACGUGAGUUCGAAUCUCACCCUCUCCGCCA